CCUACGGGGGGCAGCAGUCGAGAAUCAUUCACAAUGGGGGAAACCCUGAUGGUGCGACGCCGCGUGGGGGAAUGAAGGUCUUCGGAUUGUAAACCCCUGUCAUGUGGGAGCAAAUUAAAAAGAUCGUACCACAAGAGGAAGAGACGGCUAACUCUGUGCCAGCAGCCGCGGUAAUACAGAGGUCUCAAGCGUUGUUCGGAAUCACUGGGCGUAAAGUGUGCGUAGGCUGUUUCGUAAGUCGUGUGUGAAAGGCGCGGGCUCAACCCGCGGACGGCACAUGAUACUGCGAGACUAGAGUAAUGGAGGGGGAACCGGAAUUCUCGGUGUAGCAGUGAAAUGCGUAGAUAUCGAGAGGAACACUCGUGGCGAAGGCGGGUUCCUGGACAUUAACUGACGCUGAGGCACGAAGGCCAGGGGAGCGAAAGGGAUUAGAUACCCGAGUAGUC
rnacentral:rRNA from 1 species